rnacentral:rRNA from 1 species
AGAGUUUGAUCCUGGCUCAGGACGAACGCUGGCGGCGUGCCUAAUACAUGCAAGUCGAGCGGACCGAUUGAAAGCUUGCUUUCAUGAGGUCAGCGGCGGACGCCUGAGUAACACGUGGGUAACCUGCCCUAUAGACCGGGAUAACUCCGCGGAAACGCGAGCUAAUACCGGAUAACACCCCGGAGCGCAUGCUCCGGGGUUGAAAGGCGGCUUUGCUGCCACUAUGGGAUGGGCCCGCGGCGCAUUAGCUAGUUGGUGGGGUAACGGCCUACCAAGGCGACGAUGCGUAGCCGACCUGAGAGGGUGAUCGGCCACACUGGGACUGAGACACGGCCCAGACUCCUACGGGAGGCAGCAGUAGGGAAUCUUCCACAAUGGGCGAAAGCCUGAUGGAGCAACGCCGCGUGAGCGAAGAAGGUCUUCGGAUCGUAAAGCUCUGUUGUAA